rnacentral:rRNA from 1 species
AGCGAACGCUGGCGGCAGGCCUAACACAUGCAAGUCGAACGAACCCUUCGGGGUUAGUGGCGGACGGGUGAGUAACACGUGGGAACGUACCUUUAGGUUCGGAACAACACAGGGGAAACUUGUGCUAAUGCCGAAUGUGCCCUUCGGGGAAAGAUUUAUCGCCUUUAGAGCGGCCCGCGUCUGAUUAGCUUGUUGGUGAGGUAAAAGGCUCACCAAGGCUACGAUCAGUAGCUGGUCUGAGAGGAUGAUCAGCCACACUGGGACUGAGACACGGCCCAGACUCCUACGGGAGGCAGCAGUGGGGAAUCUUGCGCAAUGGGCGAAAGCCUGACGCAGCCAUGCCGCGUGAAUGAUGAAGGUCUUAGGAUUGUAAAAUUCUUUCACCGGGGAAGAUAAUGACGGUACCCGGAGAAGAAGCCCCGGCUAACUUCGUGCCAGCAGCCGCGGUAAU